rnacentral:rRNA from 1 species
AUGGCUCAGGAUGAACGCUAGCGGCAGGCUUAACACAUGCAAGUCGAGGGGCAUCGGGAGUAGCAAUACUGCCGGCGACCGGCGCAAGGGUGCGUAACGCGUGAGCAACAUGCCCGUAUCAGGGGGGAUAAUCCAUGGAAACGUGGUCUAAUACCCCAUAGUAAUUAUGUAAGGCAUCUUAUAUAAUUUAAAGCUUUGGUGGAUACGGAUUGGCUCGCGUGACAUUAGCUGGAUGGUAAGGUAACGGCUUACCAUGGCUACGAUGUCUAGGGGUUCUGAGAGGAAGGUCCCCCCACACUGGAACUGAGACACGGUCCAGACUCCUACGGGAGGCAGCAGUGAGGAAUAUUGGACAAUGGAUGGAAAUCUGAUCCAGCCAUGCCGCGUGCAAGGAAGACGGCCCUAUGGGUUGUAAACUGCUUUUGUAUGGGAGCAAUAAGGGCUACGUGUAGUCCGAUGAGAGUACCAUACGAAUAAGCACCGGCUAACUCCGUGCCAGCCGCCGC